rnacentral:SRP_RNA from 1 species
GCUGGGUGUGGUGGCGGGCGCCUGUAGUCCCAGCUACUUGGGAGGCUGAGGCAGGAGAAUCGCUUGAACCCAGGAGGUAGAGGUUGCAGUGAGCUGAGAUCACACCACUGCACUCCACCCUGGGCAACAGAGUGAGACUCUGUCUCCA